GCCGGGAUGGUGUAGUGGUAACAUUAGGGACUGUGGAUCCUUAGCUGAGGGUUCGACUCCCUCUCCCGGCACCA
rnacentral:tRNA from 1 species